CCUACGGGAGGCAGCAGUGAGGAAUAUUGGUCAAUGGACGAGAGUCUGAACCAGCCAAGUAGCGUGAAGGAUGACUGCCCUAUGGGUUGUAAACUUCUGUUAUAUGGGAAUAAAACAGGGUAUGCAGACACUCUUGUAUGUAACAUAUGAAUAAGGAUCGGCGAACUCCGUGCCAGCAGCCGCGGUAAUACGGAGGAUCCGAGCGUUAUCCGGAUUUAUUGGGUUUAAAGGGAGCGUAGGUGGAGUGUUAAGUCAGUUGUGAAAGUUUGCGGCUCAACCGUAAAAUGGCAGUUGAAACUGGCAGUCUUGCGUACAGUAGCGGUGGGCGGACUUCGUUGUGUCGCUG
rnacentral:rRNA from 1 species